rnacentral:misc_RNA from 1 species
AACGCAUAUUGCGCCCUUUGGCAUUCCGGAGGGCAUGCCUGUUUGAGAACCUUGACGUCCCUCACACCCCCCACUUUUAUUAACUUAAUGGUGGGGAAGUGUGGAUUUGUGUUGCUUCUUGCUUCGGCAAAGAAUAACAUGAAAUUUAAUUUUGGCGGAUUUCCUUGUGCCUCCACACGAUGUCCAUAACCAAGACGUGCUAAUAUGGGAAACCAUUGAAUCCGUCGAUAAACAUUGGGUCUGUGGGCUUUAAGGGCCUUGGAGUGACCAGUCAACUCAAAUGACGCCAGGCAUUUGUUAGCAUUUUUUUGCUUUCAGAUGUAGACCUGAACUUCUGGUCUCAAAUCAGACAAGACUACCCGCUGAACUUAA